GUGGGGAAUAUUGCACAAUGGGGGAAACCCUGAUGCAGCGACGCCGCGUGAGCGAAGAAGUAUUUCGGUAUGUAAAGCUCUAUCAGCAGGGAAGAAGAAUGACGGUACCUGACUAAGAAGCACCGGCUAAAUACGUGCCAGCAGCCGCGGUAAUACGUAUGGUGCAAGCGUUAUCCGGAUUUACUGGGUGUAAAGGGAGCGCAGGCGGUGCGGCAAGUCUGAUGUGAAAGCCCGGGGCUCAACCCCGGUACUGCAUUGGAAACUGUCGUACUAGAGUGUCGGAGGGGUAAGUGGAAUUCCUAGUGUAGCGGUGAAAUGCGUAGAUAUUAGGAGGAACACCAGUGGCGAAGGCGGCUUACUGGACGAUAACUGACGCUGAGGCUCGAAAGCGUGGGGAGCAAACAGGAUUAGAUACCCGUGUAGUCC
rnacentral:rRNA from 1 species